AUACGGAAGGUCCGGGCGUUAUCCGGAUUUAUUGGGUUUAAAGGGAGCGCAGGCGGAGAUGCAAGCGUGACGUCAAAUUUCGGGGCUCAACCCCGUCUCGCGUCGCGAACUGCGUCCCUUGGUUGCGGGAAGGGGAGGCGGAACUCGUGGUGUAGCGGUGAAAUGCAUAGAUAUCACGAAGAACUCCGAUCGCGAAGGCGGCCUGCCGGCCCGUCAACGACGCUCAUGCACGAAGGGGCGGGUAUCAAACAGGAUUAGAUACCCUGGUAGUCCACGCCGUAAACGAUGGGCGCUCGUCGUCGGCGGCAGGCAGUCGGCGGCCAAGCGAAAGCGAUAAGCGCCCCACCUGGGGAGUACGGUCGCAAGGCUGAAACUCAAAUGAAUUGACGGGG
rnacentral:rRNA from 1 species